UCCCCAACCGUCUUUCUUCCCCUAUCUGCAGUUUCUCAAUCUCUACUCUUCUAAUUCACCUCAGUCUCUCACUCGUUAUAUCUGGAUUUCUUCUUUUCGUUCUUGUUUAGAUUUUGUUUCUAAUUCAUGUUAUUUAUAAACGACGAAGAACACCUAAAACCCAGAUGCAGACUCCUCUCCAAACAUCAUCAUUGGUUGAAGAUGAUCAAGAUCUGGGUGAUAUGAGGGCAAUGCUGCAUUCAAGGGAAAGCAAUGGAACAAAUCUGUAAACUACUAUACCAAAGCUAUCACGCUGAAGGAUUCAAUCGCAACCUACUACUGCAACCGAUCUGCUGCUUAUUUAGAAUUAGGAUGGUAAAGCAUGGUAACAGUAUUUAGGUGGUUACUUUCCAUAACUAGAAACCACCUAUUUCACUUUAUGUAGCUACCAAGAAGCUGAAACAGAUUGUACAAAAGCAAUAUCAAUUGAUAAAAGGAAUGUGAAAGCAUAUUUAAGACGAGGAACUGCAAAAGUAAUGUUAUUCUGCUAGGAAGAAGCUGCUG